GUAGGUGAACCUGCGGAAGGAUCAUUAAAAAAGGUAUAUGCGCGAUUCAGCGUAUUACUCCUCUCCUCUCUGCCGCAAGGCUUUGAGUGCUUGAGUCCCUUAACCCUUUGUGAACUUUAAAUUUUUUGCUUCGGCAGCGCGCUCCUCUCGGGGGGGUUGGUAAGGCUGCCGAUAGCCCAUUUAAACUAUUUUAUUUUAAAUCAUGAAGUCUGAUUACUGUUAAAUUUAAACAAGUUAAAACUUUCAGCAACGGAUCUCUUGGUUCUC
rnacentral:misc_RNA from 1 species